rnacentral:lncRNA from 1 species
AAACAAGGCGACUCCCUUUCGUGCGACUUCUUAAAGAUACUCUUGGAGAAAAUGAUUCGAGCUGUAGAACUAAAUAGAGUCGGUACCUUCUUCUAUAAGAGUACAGCCUUUGGCGUACGCCGAUGAUAUUAAUAUCUCUGACUCUAUGUUCGCAUCUUGUGCUUAUGCAUAGUGCGGAUCCUUCACAUGAAAAUUCACUUCUUUAAUUAGGGCUUAUGUCGAGGAAUAUAAAAUUCUUGGCGGACCAUGGGAUGCAUUAGGCCGACGAAACCAAAUCGUAGCUAUAUCUCCACAUAGUUCACAGUAGUUGCAGUGCUACUGCCAAACCGCUUUGCAAUGUAGAGGUACUACAGUCCAUGUAAACUCAGUUUCAAGCGAAAACCCAAUGGAAGGGGGAGAUCUUUUGAGCUCUCCGGGAUAUGCCAAAGGUACUAUGUCGGCCACAAAGACUAAGCCGAGGGCAAAACCCAGUCAGGAGGGGUUGAAAGCAAAAGCAGUGGUGAAAGUCCACGAAAGGCUUAGUUGUAAGACCAACCGGACGAAGAGGGAAGAUAAUUGUGCUAUGGCAAAAAUGAAAGAAGACCAAGUAUAUUAUGCAUCGAAGCCUCAAUUCAAAUCCUCGAUUCCGAGAUUCGCAAACCAGUUUGAGGAAGGAACUGCAUCCAAAAGGCAAAGGUCCGUUGAAAGUCAAGCUCGUUUCCAGCGAAAAGGCCGAGGAAAGAGGACGAAGCAGUAAGGCCAAACGUCAGACUGGAUCAAGAGAAUCCCUCAACGGGCGGCAGCGUCGCACAGCGAGAUAGCCAAGAGGCUUUUUGCAUGGCGAGAUGUAGACUCGUGCACCCCUAUGUCAACUUUCCUUAGUGCCGGCUAGCUCAAUGGGGUCAAGAUAUUAAAAUGCAAGGACGACAAGUUGUGAAGCUAAAGGCCUGUGGAAUGGAGUAGUUAUGGAAAUAGUGGCCCGAAAUUGCAUUUCGUCCAUACCGAAGGCGUAGGUUGCGAUACCUCACAAGGUAAAACCGGAGGAUACACUGAAGUUUAUCACUUCCGGCAAGGAGGAUGGCAGCCAAAACUAUAUCCUCCAAAUGAACAAGUCGGCCAAAAUAAUCACAGUCGAGGGUUGGGAAGUGCCUCGUUUUCUGCCCCUAGGCACUUUCCGGGAUGGCCUUCAGCUCUCGCAUCGAAUUUGUUUUUGUGUCUUCAAUUAAGUCGGAGCGUGUUCCCCGAAGUGGAUAUUUCAGUGUGACGAAAGAUAAAAGUCACAGGGGUUCAUAUCAGGUGAAUAAGGUGCUUGCUCAAUGAUCUUUGUUGAGUGUUUGGCCAAAAUUUAACACAAAUACGUUGAUUUAAAUUUUAAAAUUCGACAAACACUACUGAGGUCGACUGACAUAAACAGCUGCUGUAAACAUACUGGUUAACAGAUUGCGCUAAAUUUUGGCAUCAUAAUUAAAGACAUUUGUGCCAACCUAGGAAAAAAAUGUACCUGUCUUCCAUAUAAGCGGCAGAUGAGACUUCCAAUAUUUGCAAAUGGUGCAUCGAAACUAACUUGUUAGAACAAGGAGCUUUUCAAACUAGCCGAUGAAGAGUUCUAUUGGAAGGAGUACAAAGACGCACUCAAAGGUUACAAAAAAUAAAUUCUUAAAGCCGAGAGGGAGUCGUCGAAGAGCUUCUGAGGUAAGUUAGAAAAGACAACCGAAGAAGCUAGACUUAGGAAAUUAGUAUCCAAUCACCCGAAUACCCACAGGAUACUACGCAAAAAAUGUAGAGAUUGGACUGGAUGCAGUAAGGAAUCACUGGUAGACCUCGUCAAAAUUCGUUUUCAAGGGUGUAUAGACGCUGUAGAUCUCCAACCUGUAAGAGAUAUCAUAACGAAAUACAAAAUACUUUGGACAAUCAAGGGUUUCAACCCAAAAGGGCUGGUUCCUUACGUGAACAUAAUAAACGGAUGUUUGAAGCUUAACUACUGUACUUAUCCUUUGGAAAGAGACUUUGGCGAGAGUGGUAUUUGUGCCGAAGGGGGAAAAGGAGUCUUCCUUUAUUCGAAAUAAUACAGACUUUUAAGUCUAACCUUAUUCUUUCUGAAGGCAUUUGAAAGCUUUUAUAGGCCACUAUAUUGAGAGCACAGCACGCCUGUACGAAGGAUAGAUCCGUCAUACACCGAUGGGCGAUAUCGGCCAACUUAGAGGUAAAUGCUAAUAAAAGGGAUAUGGUAAAAGGAGCGGUGUUUCCCGCUAUGGAAACUUCCGAGACUUAAUGGAAUUGAAUUAACGAUUAAGAAGCUUACCUUAUACCUGGGGGUAAUUUUGGACAGUAAGCUGAUGUCGAAACACAAUAUAUAGGAGAGAGAUACGCAUGUAAGAAAAUGCUAUAUCCACUUGGGGCCUAUCAUCUGACCUCAUGCAUUGGUGUUACCCAGCGGCAGUCAAGCCAAUGCUCUGGUGUGGUGAACAAAAUUUCAUAUUGGAAACCGAUGAAACGCGUUCAGCGACUCGCUAUAUUCUGCAUCAAGAACAGCUCCAACGGCGGCACUAGAAAGGUUACUCAACAUACCACCAAUUGCAAUGUCGUUUGAGUGGAAAGCUCUGCGACAAAAUCAGCUGAAAGAUUGGCUGCAUUAAGUGAAUUCUGUACAAGAACUUUCGGGCAUCGCUCAAAAAGUAGGGAGAUACUCGACAAAUUAGACCUCAUACCGACACGCUGUAUUUAGGAGAGAAGCUUCCAGGCCACACUAAUUGGAGGUUGGUGGCACUGAAGCCAUUACGUAAGAGAAUGUUCUCAGAAGCAGGGAGUCAGUAGAUGCAGUGUCUGCAUAUUUACUGGGUUUCAGGCCAGAAGGGAAUUUCGGCAAAUGAAACUGCUGAUGAGAUUGCCAAAGUGUUAUCCGUCUGGUUACCGAACAAGUACAAGAAAUACGAAAGUCGCUAAAAACGAUAUGCAACGAAGUUUCCGAAAGGGCUGACAGACGGAUCAGGGCGAGAUGGAAUGCCUUAAAUGCAUGCAGGACCACCAAGAUCAUGUGAAAGACUUUUGGUGCGACUCGGCUACCCGGCACUUAGAGCAUAUUGUAUAGUUCAUUUGUAUGUUGAUAUGAUGUUUUCAAAUAUUGUUUACAAAGAAUUGCCAUAGUUUAGAAUAGCUGCUAUUAAUAUUUUCAAAGAAGAACUAAUGACGGGAAUUCCAUAACCCAACAGAAUUUUUGCACCUCUUCUGUUCUGCAAACCUUCUAUUAAUAUUUUCAAGACCAAAUUAAUGAUUAAAAAUUAUAAGAACAUUACACUCAAAAAUUACAAGAUGCUUUGACAAAAAAUAGCAUAUACGCAUACGCAUAUCUAUAUACAGUACUCUGAAGAAAUCUGUUUUUUUUUUGCUAUUUGCUAUUGUGUUCGCAUGUACUGUACUAUUACACAAGUUUAUUAUGAACUGAAAUCGCAAUUCGCAAAAUCGAACAGUUAUCGCAGUUCACAGGUUCGAACUGUUAUCACAAUUCACAGGUUCUAACUGCUAUCGCAAAUCACAGUUCACAGAAGUGAACUGCUAUUUACAAAAUGUGAUCGCAGUUGCGAUCUGCAUUUUUCAAUCACAGUGAAAAAUCACCAUCGUCCGAAAAGGACCUCCAACACUAUAUAUCCCAAUAUAUACAACAAAAAAGGGAGCUAAUUGGAAAAAUUUCCAUCACCGAUAUACCACAUUCAAUGUAAAUGUCCUAGGCCCCAUAUACCCUACAAACACGUCAAAGCCAAAAUGGUCAAUUUAUAUACGCUUACGAAUUGGACACACGAAGCUUACUCACGAACAUUUGAUAACCAACAGAACACCGCAAACAUGCGACUAUGGCAAUAGUCUAACAACCGAACAUACUAUCUUAGAUCACUGUCCCAACUUCGCUAUUUAUAGAACAGCUUAGAUUAAUCAACCAAUUGUAAUAAUAUUAAACUUUCUUAUAAGAUUGGCGUCAAAUGCCACCGCGGCUAGUACGCGAUACUAUGUAUGUUAGAUAUAAUAUUUUAUAAUGUGUCUAAUAAAUAAUAAUAAAUAUCUAUUUGGAAAUAUAUUGAACAUACAUACAUAUGUUCAUAAACAUAUAUGUACAUGCAUUUACAUGCAAUAAGCAUCCCAUAAUAACAAAAAUGUAUAUAGUACAAUAUGAAUUGUGAACUACAUAAUUGGGUAAAUACAAGUCAUAAAUGUAUAUAAGUUAACACCAGCUAAGUUGAAACCAUCGCUGACACCAACACUAUUGCGCUAAGUCAACAAUUACAAAGAACUGGGAAAUAGCCCAGACGCGCGCUCAGCAAAAUUGUCAAUAUCAGCAGCGCAAUAUCCGGCAUGCGCCGAUCCGAAUUCUGGAUCGACCUAAAAAAGGAAUAAGCAAAAUAAAACACUUGCAACAACAUCCGGCAUGCGCCGACCAAUACCAACUGCUGACACAGGUAGAAAUAGGGUAUAUUUAAGAGAGAAUAAGUAGAAUUAAGUUUUUAAUAUUAAUGUUUUGUUGAUUCAAUAAAGGUCUUGCGACCAACGAAAAAAUCUUUUUUUUAGACUUGUACAAUACAAGUCGAUAACUGUCGCCCGAGUCAAAUAAGCUCGGCGAAGUCUAGUCGUUGAAAGUGUUAAGAGCGUUGAAAGUGUCAGAAAUAAAUAAAGACCCUUGUUUUUAAUGCGCAACAAUAAAGUGCCACAAACUAAAGACUUUAAAAGAAAUUUGCAAUAAUAAAGUGCCAAAAACAAAUAAAAACUG